CUACAUGCCGAAAUCGAGAUCGCGUGUAGAUCAGAGUUGGGUGUGUGUAAGUAGUGCGUUUAUGAAUGAAAUUGGAAAGUUUUGCACGUGCUCUGCUGAAAGUCAAAUGCGGGAUUACUGUUUUGGAUUUGCCUUAAAUUGCAGGUUUGAUGUUCAAAGACAACACAGAGUGGCCAUCAGAGAACACUGGGUCAAGUUCUACGAUUUAAAUACUGUCAGACGGGGUCCACCUUACCCUACUUGGUCGACAUUGCUUCUACACGUCAUUGUGGCAUGCGGUUAUGAGAGCUGUGAAGAAUUAUACAUAGAGUUUUCUAGGGGAGUAUAUUUUAUGAUAUCUGUAGAUCACUUCUUCCAUAUGUUAUGCAAUCGAAACCAAGGCGGAUCUCAAAUGUCAAGUAUAUUACUUAUUUAAAAUUGAAAGCAGUAUAAGAUGUCAAGAUCGAAAACAUGUACAUUACAUAAUCAAUGAAUCGGACGAUUCCAUUGUAACUCAAACUGAUUUCGAACCAGGACAAUGUCCAUGUAUUUUUAUAUUAUAGUAUACAUCUGUGUCUGUGAGCCAUUUAAUGCGGCCAGGUGUAUUGUUUUCAUGUAGGUUGUAUGGUUUUGUUCUUUCAUUUAUCUUUGAUAUACCCCCGCUUUUCGCGAGCCAGUAGGCUUUAUAGAGGUCACGUUUUUUAUGUUAAUGUGGUUGGGCUCUUACAUUUGUACAAACCCUCACGUCUGCGAGCCAUUAGGCUUUAACGCGGUCACAUUUUUGUGAAUUGUGGUGGGUUUUUAUGUUUAUUACCACUGUCUGCGAGCCUUUUGGCUUUAGCGCGGUCACAUUAUUUGUGUGAAUUGUGGUUGUUUGCAUUUGUCAUAUAUCCCACUGUCUGCGUGCCUGUGGGCUUUAGCGCGGUCACAUUUGAUUGAAUGUGCCUGUCACAUUUAAUUGAAUGCGAAUGUAGAUGUGUUUAUUUAACUUAUUUGUGUGUAGUAUUUCCCACUGUCUGCGUGCCUGUGGACUUUAGCGCGGUCACAUUUGAUUGAAGGUGCUUGUCACGUUUAAUUGAAUGGGAAUUGUGGAUGUGUUUAUUUUACUUAUUUGUGUGUAGUAUAUCCCACUGUCUGCGAGCCUGUAUGUUUUAACGUGGUCACAUUUGAUUGAAGGUGUUUGUCACAUUUAGUUGAAUGGGAAUAUAUGUAUCCCGGAAGGGGCAACUUUUUGGGGGGCCCACUGGUCAGCUGGUGCGGAUGGGUAUGACCCAUUUGUAAUCCUUUCUAAAUCACACACCGUGUCGGUCGUUAUAAUUUGGGGUAUGCUAUCAUUGGUUUAUUUGGUGGACCAGCGUUGUUUUACCGGGGUGAUUGGUGGUUUUUUCUAAACUCGUGCUUUUCCGGUAUGGAUCUUUUGUGGAUGUGUUUAUUUUACUUAUUUGUGUGUAGUAUAUCCCACUGUCUGCGAGCCUGUCGGCUUAAGCGCGGUCACAUUUGAUUGAAGGUGCUUGUCACAUUUACUUGAAUGUGAAUUGUGGAUGGAUUUAUUAAUUUAAUUAAUGUGUAGUAUAUCCCACUGUCUGCGAGCCUGUAGACUUUAUGUGGUUGAUUGUGCGUGUUGCAUUUGAUUGAAAGCCAAUAAGUUUGGUUAUUUUGGUGUUUUGUAGGGUGCAGUGUGCCGCAGUGUAUCAGUUACUUCCCUAACUCCGAAUAUGGCUACUGUGGUUUAAAAUAAACGUUUUGCACUGUGAUUAUUUGUCUCAACCCUGAAGUUAUUAUUUAAUACUGGUGGAAGCUCCAACAUGCCCCCGAAGAACAGGAAGAACAGCGGUGGUCCAGCGACACUGUCAAAGAAGGCGAAAACAGCCUCACAUACAGCCACAAACAGUAUCAACACGAAUGACCCUGCAAUUUUGGCACUAACUGACAAUACCAGAAAUGGGACAGCAAAAACCAGUCGCUGACGCUGACACGCCCGGACUGUACGAGAACCAAUCCCAGGCUGUGAACGAGGUCAAUUCACAGAUUACGAGACAAAUUGGAAAUCAAUCCCUGCCUGAUAUUAAUAAGAUAUGGUAACAGUGUCAAGACAAUUAUUUUAACCUAGUCCCUAUGUUCUCGUCAGUUGCUAUUGCAAAGGACAGGUAUACUAAACAAGUUAUAACUUUGUUUUGUGUUAUUCGAAAUUCAUAUACUAAAAUGAUGUGGUUUAUUUGUUUAAAAAAUAAACCGGGGUAUUUUGUUGAAGUUUCGAACUUUUUCGUCUCUAAGCAUAUACCUACGAAAUGUAAACAAUUUAGCUGACAGCGACGAAAUUAUUCGUGAACGGUAUAAUCAUUGCCUUUUUCCGCUUCCUUUUCUUUCCAGCGCUGGAGAAACGUGUUGCAAUUUUGUAAUUUAUCGUUUAAAAACCACCCACCGCACCCUGUUUGCUAGGAAUUAUAUGUAUAUUGCUAAAUGUUACGUAUAUUUGCUUUAUGUGUAUUGUAUAAUCUCUAUGCUUUUUGGAUAACUUUGCAAAUCAAAGAUUUAUUUUGCUUGGUCUGUCUUUGCUGUAUAUUUGCAGCGGCAACCCAAUUGUACUGGAGUUCCACUGGCAAUCUGCACGUGCACGCUGUCCAAGGUUCCCACCAUGUACUGAUACUGAUGAGCUGUUACCAUAGCCAAAUCGGGGGUUUACCAACCUUCCUGGGCAAUUUCUGUGACCGUGCCCAGACGAGCGCCUUGUUCCUGCCGCGUCCAACAACAAGCGAGCCAUUACCAUUUACCUGCCUCGUCCUGCUACAAGCGAGCCGUUACCAUUUACCUGAUUUUGUGUUGUGAGCCUAUAUGGAAUCUAUAACAAACAUUGGGAAACAAUCUUGACUGUGUGGCCUUUAUAAUUCUAUAACAGCAGAAGAAUGUUCAGUUCUGUGCGUUACGGAGUAUAGCACAGAACGUUAUGUCUAAACAUAAUGCACCGCACAAAACAUGUAUAUAUGCGGUUCGUUCAUGCGUUAUGGUUGUCAUGUGAGUGAGGGUCACUCAGGCGGGCAUAGGCGAGAAUGUGCACGGGGUUUUCAUUGUUUGGCCCAUUCCAAGCAAGACCAGUUAUGUUUCAGUUACACACUGUCCACAGUUACAUGUUAAUAUGUGUUGGUUUCGGGUACAGUUUUCCAGAGUUAUUUUACAUUGGGUAUCGGAUGUUUUCUGAUGAAGUUUUAUCUUUGGUUUUUACCCUGAACUUGAAAGCAACAUUUAAGGAUACAGAAUAGAAGUUAUGUAUACCAAUCAUAGUUUUUCUGUGUUAUAUAAUAAAUAGAUC